GACGAACGCUGGCGGCGUGCUUAACACAUGCAAGUCGAACGAUGAACCGGAGCUUGCUCCGGGGAUUAGUGGCGAACGGUGAGUAACACGUGGGCAACCUGCCCCAGACAUCGGGAUAACCAUUCGAAAGGAUGGCUAAUACCGGAUAUGACCUCUUCGGGCAUCCGAUGGUGGUGGAAAGGAUUCUGGUCUGGGAUGGGCCCGCGGCCUAUCAGCUAGUUGGUGGGGUAAUGGCCUACCAAGGCGACGACGGGUAGCCGGCCUGAGAGGGCGACCGGCCACACUGGGACUGAGACACGGCCCAGACUCCUACGGGAGGCAGCAGUGGGGAAUAUUGCGCAAUGGGCGAAAGCCUGACGCAGCGACGCCGCGUAAGGGACGAAGGUCUUCGGAUUGUAAACCUCUUUCAGCAGGGACGAAGCGAAAGUGACUGUACCUGCAGAAGAAGCACCGGCUAACUACGUGCCAGCAGCCGCGGUAAU
rnacentral:rRNA from 1 species